GGAUAGGAAGAAUCUAGCUCGUGACUCCUUUUCUGCAGUUGGAAUCAGCAACAGUAGUAGCCACAGGCGAAGGUUCUGUAAAAAAGUGUAAAAAACUGGGUGUGAAAACUACUGUAAAACAGAAUAGUUUUCAAAGGUGAGCAAGUUAUUAGAAAAUCGUUUUGGUGAUGUGCGACAAUGAUACCCCACGUGUGAUUUGAUGUGAUCAAAAUUAAUCAACUAGUCGCGUCCCCUGUCCUCACAUUUUAAUCGAGCAAUUAAUGUUGUGCUAGCUAAAGACCAGCGUUUCGCGGGGAAUGAAAAGAUUUACGGUAAACAUACAUUAAUAAUUAAUAAGUAAUAAUAAAU
rnacentral:lncRNA from 1 species